rnacentral:rRNA from 1 species
CCAGACUCCUACGGGAGGCAGCAGUGGGGAAUAUUGCACAAUGGGGGGAACCCUGAUGCAGCGACGCCGCGUGGGUGAAGGAGCACCUCGGUGCGUAAAGCCCUAUCGGCAGGGAAGAAAAGCGAACAGGUUCGCCUGGACGGUACCUGACUAAGAAGCCCCGGCUAACUACGUGCCAGCAGCCGCGGUAAUACGUAGGGGGCAAGCGUUAUCCGGAUUUACUGGGUGUAAAGGGGGCGCAGACGGCCAUGGCAAGCCCGGUGUGAAAGGCAGGGGCAUAACCCCUGGACUGCACUGGGAACUGUCAGGCUGGAGUGCCGGAGGGGUAAGCGGAAUUCCUGGUGUAGCGGUGAAAUGCGUAGAUAUCAGGAGGAACACCGGUGGCGAAGGCGGCCUGCUGGACUGCAACUGACGUUGAGGCCCGAAAGCGUGGGGAGCAAACAGGAUUAGAUACCCCCGUAUGA